CCCUUAGAUGUUCUGGGCCGCACGCGCGCUACACUGAUGCAUUCAACGAGUUUCUUCCUGGUCCGAGAGGAAUGGGUAACCUUUUGAAAGUGCAUCGUGAUAGGGAUAGACUAUUGCAAUUAUUGGUCUUCAACGAGGAAUUCCUAGUAGACGUAGUUCAUCAGACUGCAUCGAUUACGUCCCUGCCCUUUGUACACACCGCCCGUCGCUCCUACCGAUUGAAUGCUCAGGUGAGCCAUUCGGACUUUCAUCAUGCUGGUUUCCAGAUUUGAUGAAGGAAAGUCUUGCGAACCUUAUCAUUUAGAGGAAGGAGAAGUCGUAACA
rnacentral:rRNA from 1 species